rnacentral:lncRNA from 1 species
GCAUGUUCUUGGGCCAGCCUCAGAUGCAGUUCAGCACACAGGGUUUCCCUCCAGGAAUGGGCGGACCUCUUCCGGCCAGCGGGGGUGUGAUGCCUGGCGGGACUCUGCCAAACGGAGGCUAUGUGGGCAUGCAGCAGCAAGCCCCAGUGCCGGCUAACCAAGGACAGAACCCAUACAGCCUGCUGCAAGGACAACAACAAGGACAAUGGAACAUGAACCAGAUGACCCAACAGAUGUCGGGAUUGGCUGUGAGCAGUGGAGCCGUGGCCACUUUCGCCCAAUCAGGGCCCCCCGCAGGUGGCUGGGCCACGCCCGCUCCCGCGCCCUCCGGCCAGACCCUCAGCACUCAGCUGUGGAAGUGAUGAGUUAGAGGUUCUCCUCACACCUCUGGGUAAAACAACGCACAUCAGUGUAGGGGGGAGGUUCACCCGCCUCCUUCUCCUGGCACGCUUUCACCACAGUUCCUUUAAAAAACUAAACAUAUACGAUGCGAAGCGGAGAGAAUCAGGACUGGUUUGCAGUCUUUUUUUAUUGUUGCUUUUCCCCUUGGAAUUACUGUAUUUAUCGUCUGAAGAACGACACAAAAACAUUAAAAUGGAACAACGACGAAGCUGCUGGACCCAAGGGCGUAGGUUUGGAUGGCAGAGACACGUCCCUGAAGCACGCUGUAAGGUGUUUGUGAGCGUCCGCCACGUCUUUGUGUUUGUUAGAAAGAAAAGACGGAGAAACAACUUUUAAAAUAGCAAAGAAAACAAUUAAAUCAGUGGUACUGCUGUUAAAAAUGCAAGAAAUCUAGACUGAGACAUCAAACGCAGCAUCUUUGAGCUCUCUGUUGUCAUGGUACGGUCCAGCCCAUUUAAAGGGGUGUGCACCCUAAAGCUGACACAAACCUACGCCGCUGGUAAGUCCCAUAUCUGUGUCUAAUCUAGUCAUUAGUCAGUAACUAGUCUUCAAGUGCCGCAGUAGAUAUGACAUUUGUGUGGUCGUCGGUAUUCCCCCGUCUCUGUCAUGUAUAAUGAAACAGCCCCCCCCUCUGUAGUCCAAACAGAGUCUGGUAGCAGAGAGGCCUCUGAACAGUACUGUAUCUAUCCAAACACCACGUGACUCGUCCCCUUUUCCAGAGCCAUAGGAGGGCGGCUGGUGUCUUUUUACCCAGAAUGCCCUUUCAGUACAACACGACAGCACCAUAACAACAACGCCCAUAGCAGUGCGCAGUUUUACUCAGCAUUCCAUCAUGAAACGGUGAUAACAGCCGUGCAAUAUGGACUCCAGACAAUUUGUAAAUAUGUAGUUUUAUCUUAUUUUUACGGAGUUGAUGCGUAUGGCUAACGCUAAGAACAGGAAACGCUCGUGAGGAGGAUGAGUGAACGCUGAAGAACCAUCAUUUAGGUUGAAUCGUGGUGACUCAGGAACCAACAAGAUUCUAGAACCUGGCAAAAACUGACCCAGGAUAUGGAAUCAACUGUGUCAGCGCACAUUUACGCCUGAGAGCAGACGCUCUGACGCCCAUCUUCAGCUGUGGGUGUCAAAGGGCUACAUUUAGCCACAAAGUAGAUGAUUUAGUUUUGAGGUGGUUUUUUUUUUUUUUUUUCCAACUGGAGUAAUUCAUGCAGUAAUUUUGUUUUAUGGCUUCAUCUCAGAUAUUGACGGACUCUAAACUGCAGGGUAGAUUUUUCUCUCCGUCUUUUAUGAGUCUUAAACUGGACAAAUGUGUCGCCCUUCGUGUGUAGCGCUGUGACCGCCGUACGGGCGCCGUUACAGACUUUGCUGUCGUGUUCAUGUUGCGUGUGGUACAAGAGAAGCACAUUCUGAAGGAAAUAAACCUGGAGAGGGCUAAACUGGCAGGACAAGGGACAAAGUGUGCCGACACCCACCUGAUGGGUUCUGCGACUUUUGCUCAUCCUGUCACGCAAUAACUGUAGCUCUCUCUCGCCUCUCUGUUGUUAGUGGGAACAACAUUCCGAGUCCUCCAGGUUUAUUUCCCACAUGUUUACAUUUUCUGGUGCCUAGGAUGAUAUAAAUGGUUUCUGUGCAUUAAUAAACAUUCUUAUUUCAUCUGUGUAUUCCUCUGUGAAACUUUAACUGUACUGUAAUUUUAUCCUUUUUUUGGAAUAAAAAAAUGUUAAACACACUCGAUUUAAUCCUGCUUUUUAUUUUUGUCCAUAUAUUGUCCAUAUUCAGGUUGAAGGUCUUCUUUUAUUCUGACAUGCAGUUUCUAAUCCUGAUCAGAUAAAAGAAUAAUACCUGACUGCUGCCUUUAGCUGUAAGAACUACUUUUUUAAAAAAAACAACAAAUAUUUGAAGAUUUUAAGUGAAGAAAAACCCACCAUCAGUGUUAAAUUGGCCUACGUAAUUGCGUGAGCAGCUUAUGGGAGAGACCGCUCUUUUCUUUUUUUAUAACCCCUGUUCAAAUCAUAGUUCACAUUUUCCUCUGAACAAAUAAAACUAAUAUCACAAAUGUCGACAGAUUCUGGGUGAAACAACUUUAAUGAAAAACAAUGUAUUAAGUGCUAAUUCAGGUUGACUGCUUACAAUCAUUUUGCUAAAUUAGCUAUACGCUAACAGCAAACCGACUUUGUAAUGAUGUUUAAACUGGUCGUGGUCCUCUCCUCCACAACACCACUCAUCAUCCUGACCACAAAUGUGUUUAUGGGGACGACGGCACAGUAGCACAGUUAAUUUGACAAGGACACGUUAAUAAUUCAAAUGACUCGCACGGCCCCUUUUCAGCAAGAGUUCAGACAUUUACAUUAAGCCACGGAUGAGGGAACAGUCGGUAAAUCAGGCGUGGUGAGUUCGCUCCUGGUCUGACAGAAAACCAGACCUCUGGGAUCAUGCAGCCCCUCUGAGCACGUUUGCGCCACGGAGAGAUUUUAUCAGUCUGAUAAGGAGUGAAAAUAGGAUCCUGCUGCUCAUGCUGGCCUGGAAAUGCCGCCCUGACACGUUCCGCCUCGCGUUUGUUUGAUCC